rnacentral:rRNA from 1 species
UACGUAGGGGGCAAGCGUUGUCCGGAUUUAUUGGGCGUAAAGAGCGUGUAGGCGGCCAGGUAGGUCAGCUGUGAAAACUCGAGGCUCAACCUCGAGACGUCGGUUGAAACCACCUGGCUAGAGUCCGGAAGAGGAGAGUGGAAUUCCUGGUGUAGCGGUGAAAUGCGCAGAUAUCAGGAAGAACACCCGUGGCGAAGGCGGCUCUCUGGGACGGUACUGACGCUGAGACGCGAAAGCUAGGGGAGCGAACAGG